rnacentral:rRNA from 2 species
CAGCAGCCGCGGUAAAACCAGCACCUCAAGUGGUCAGGAUGAUUAUUGGGCCUAAAGCAUCCGUAGCCUGCUUUGUUAGUUUUCGGUUAAAUCCAUACGCUCAACGUAUGGGCUGCCGGGAAUACUGCAAAGCUAGGGAGUGGGAGAGGUAGACGGUACUCGGUAGGAAGGGGUAAAAUCCUUUGAUCUAUUGAUGACCACCUGUGGCGAAGGCGGUCUACCAGAACACGUCCGACGGUGAGGGAUGAAAGCUAGGGGAGCAAACCGGAUUAGAUACCCGGGUAGUCCCAGUUGUAAACUAUGCAAACUCGGUGGUGCAUUGGCUUGAUGCCAAUGCAGUGCCGCAGGGAAGCCGUUAAGUUUGCCGCCUGGGAAGUACGUACGCAAGUAUGAAACUUAAAGGAAUUGGCGGGGGAGCAC